rnacentral:rRNA from 1 species
GUAGGGAAUCUUCCACAAUGGACGAAAGUCUGAUGGAGCAACGCCGCGUGAGUGAAGAAGGUCUUCGGAUCGUAAAACUCUGUUGUUAGAGAAGAACGUGCAUGAUAGUAACUGAUCAUGUAAUUACGGUAUCUAACCAGAAAGCCAUGGCUAACUACGUGCCAGCAGCCGCGGUAAAACGUAGGUGGCAAGCGUUGUCCGGAUUUAUUGGGCGUAAAGGGAACGCAGGCGGUUUUUUAAGUCUGAUGUGAAAGCCUUCGGCUUAACCGAAGAAUAGCAUUGGAAACUGGAGGACUUGAGUGCAGAAGAGGAGAGUGGAAUUCCAUGUGUAGCGGUGAAUUGCGUAGAUAUAUGGAGGAACACCGGUGGCGAGAGCGGCUCUCUGGUCUGUAACUGACGCUGAGGUUCGAAAGCGUGGGUAGCAAACAGGAUUAGAAACCCUAGUAGUCC